rnacentral:rRNA from 1 species
UACGUAGGGGGCAAGCGUUGUCCGGAUUUAUUGGGCGUAAAGAGCGUGUAGGCGGCCAGACAGGUCCGUUGUGAAAACUCGAGGCUCAACCUCGAGAUGUCGAUGGAAACCGUCUGGCUAGAGUCCGGAAGAGGAGUGUGGAAUUCCUGGUGUAGCGGUGAAAUGCGCAGAUAUCAGGAAGAACACCUAUGGCGAAGGCAGCACUCUGGGACGGUACUGACGCUGAGACGCGAAAGCGUGGGGAGCGAUCCGG